rnacentral:tRNA from 1 species
GGGAAGGUGGCUCAGUGGUAGAGCGCUUGUCUUGCAUGCAUGAGGCCCUGGGUUCCAUUCCUCAGCCCCA